UCACAUUAUCUCUAACUCCCCCUGUCCAAGUACCACGCAGCUAGCCCAAUCUUAUUUCUCUAUGACCACAACGCCGCUGCCUCCGAAUCUGGCGAGCUCCGGCGCUCUGCCGCGCCGCCGCUAAUCGGAUCGGCUACUUCUCACUACUCUUCUCCGAUCCCCCGCCAUGGCGAUGUCCUCCGCGGUCCUACAUGCGGCCCACAGCAAUCCUAGUUGCCACAGACCGCGUCUCCUCUGGUUUGUCGCCCUACUACCCCGUGCCACAUCGCCGCAUGCCCGGCUGCCGGUCGGCCUUGGCGGGUGCUGCUCCACCUUGGCUACCUCGACCCCGACGUCGCUGCCGGUUCAGUAAGCCACUCCUCCCCUGACCCCCCUCUUCUCUUACCCUAUCUUUUUGUUUGUGUGUGGUAGGCCAUGGCGGAUUCUUUGCCUGUCAUCGUGACGACGAUCUGCGCUACCCUGAUCACUCAGCCUGAUCCGCCGCCACUGGCGCUGGCUUGCACUGGUAUACAUAUGACUACACUUCGUAAAUCAGAGGAUGCCUAGCCAUGAUGACAUGCAUGGAGUACAAGAGCAAGGAUCUAGUAGGGCAUCAGCCCCUCCGUUCAUCCAGCCAAGAUUUGCCUGGAGGAAGUGGUGACAAAAUACGCAGAAACCUAGUUUGUUAUUUACACGGACUGUAUUCCCAACUACCCAGAUAGGAAUAUUCCUACAAUACUGGUGUACAACAAGAAUGCUGUCGAAGGGACUUGUGUCGAUCUACAGAAGUUCGAUGGAACAAAAUGUACACCUAAAUAUUAAACUGAACCGAUGUGAGCCUUCAACAAAGGAUCAACUCCAGAAUAUUGAAGUGUUACAAGCGGGCUUCCAGCUCUAUAUGCUAUAUUUAUUUCAGUUACGUUGGCCUUUGCCAAUCAUACCGAAUACUGAGUGAUCGGCAGGGUGGUGAUCAUCUCGUAAGAAUGUCAUAGAAGGUUAUUGACCAGAAUGAAUCGUGGGAAGACGAAGACGGUAGUGCCUAAAACUUAAACAUGACCUUCAAACUUUAUUGCCAAGAUGAAUGGAUGAUACAUGGCUAAAGUGUUGAUUGCAAGGUGGAGAAUGGGGAUGCUACCAUAUAGUUUUAUGUCAACAGUGUAGUAUGUCAUUUUCAUGGUUAAUGUAUAGAAAAUCAUGUAUGUACUGUUUGGAUUGUAUUCAAUGUAAUGCAACAGAGUUGAUUUAAUAUAUGAAGUAUUUCUGUUCACUGGAUCA